rnacentral:rRNA from 1 species
UACGUAGGGGGCAAGCGUUGUCCGGAUUUAUUGGGCGUAAAGAGCGUGUAGGCGGCUAGGUAGGUCCGUUGUGAAAACUCGAGGCUCAACCUCGAGACGCCGGUGGAAACCAUCUAGCUAGAGUCCGGAAGAGGAGAGUGGAAUUCCUGGUGUAGCGGUGAAGUGCGCAGAUAUCAGGAAGAACACCCGUGGCGAAGGCGGCUCUCUGGUACGUGACUGACGCUGAGACGCGAAAGCGUGGGGAGCAAACAGG